rnacentral:rRNA from 1 species
CUACACGGGUAUCUAAUCCUGUUUGCUCCCCACGCUUUCGUACCUCAGCGUCAACAAUAGUCCAGUGAGUCGCCUUCGCCACUGGUGUUCCUCCGAAUAUCUACGAAUUUCACCUCUACACUCGGAAUUCCACUCACCUCUCCUAUGUUCAAGCUAGCCAGUUUCAAGGGCAGUUCUGAGGUUGAGCCCCAGGCUUUCACCCCUGACUUGACAAGCCGCCUACGUACGCUUUACGCCCAGUGAUUCCGAACAACGCUAGCCCCCUCCGUAUUACCGCGGCGGCUGGCAC